rnacentral:rRNA from 1 species
GUUGCGAACGGGUGAGUAACGCGUAGGUAACCUGACUGGUAGCGGGGGAUAACUAUUGGAAACGAUAGCUAAUACCGCAUAACAGUAGAUAUUGCAUGAUAUCUGCUUGAAAGGUGCAAUUGCAUCACUACCAGAUGGACCUGCGUUGUAUUAGCUAGUUGGUGAGGUAACGGCUCACCAAGGCGACGAUACAUAGCCGACCUGAGAGGAUGACCAGCCACACUGGAACUGAGACACGGUCCAGACUCC